AAAUACCAAGGACUCGAGGAAGAGCUGGAGAAAGCCUGGAAGGUGAAGGCAACAGUCUUACCAGUGGUCAUCGGAGAACUGGGGGCCAUGUCCCCCACACAGGAGAAGUGGCUCCACCAGAUACCUGGAGAAACAUCAGACAUCUUCAUCCAGAAGAGCACAGUCCUAUGAACA